CAAAAAAGAAUACAAAGAAAAACCUAAGAACAGACCCUAGGAACAAACCUACAAAACACCGAAAACCCAGAAAAAUCUCUACAAAAAACACUCUAAUGGCAAACUCUAAUCACUGAGUUUGACAUUUUCUUUGCUUAAAACCCAUCUUCUUCUUCCUCUAUUUGACAAUAUAUCCAUCGUCAUCAACAACAUCGGUUAAUGUUCCACUGAGCCCUAAGUAUUUUUUUUUUUGCUCGGCAAGCCCUAAGUAUAUUUAAUCCCGUUGGUUUCAUUGAUCUGUACCGUCUCUAUCGUCAAGAUCAUAUAAGGUUUAAUCGAAUUGAUCCAGUGAAGAAGCUAGGUAUUAGUAUUUGUGGGUUUACGAAGGAGGCAAUGUACGGUAGUUCAAAGUUAGAGAUUACAAUUAUAAAAAAGGAGCAUCCAGCAAGUCACUAUACAAAACCACUGUAUACAAGCAAAACUAUGAGAAUUCACAGUUCAUAGAUGAUACUAUCAACCAGAACAUAGCUUCUUCGAAGACAAUAGAUGGUACGAUCUUUGCUCUUAAUAAAUAACAAAAUGUUGUCUGUUGGACUGGAUUUCAAAGCUGAAGGUACUCUUUUUGAUAAGCUUUUGUGCAAGAUAUUGUGCAGCUGAUAUCUACUUAGAAGACAUUCAAUAGAAUGCUGUAUUAAUGCUGAAGACGUAUUUAAAGGAUUCCCACCAGAACCUGGUGCGUACGAGAAGGUUCUUCUACCUACAGACUGGAGGUACAAGAUUUACUGGAAACAAGCAGAUGUUUGAAUAAGUUGAUUGUGAAAUUGUAGUCUUAAGUGCUGUGCUACUCAGCGAAGCGAUGCUGCCUCCAAGGGAAUGAGUACUUUAAAGAGAUGAAUUCAUCAGUUGGCACUUCAGAUUCUGUAAUACGACCUGUUCAAGGUAUGUUCAAUAAUCUUUGUUAACAGGAUUAUGGGGGCACUUCUCGGUAUCUACUGUUGAAAAUAGAUGCAACUAAGACAUCUGCAUCCGAGAUAUAUUUUCAACAUGUCAAGAGAGAUAAUUUGGACUGUAAGCAUUUUUGGAAUCUGAUAUGCAAAGUUGCCACAUCGAUUGUAAGAGAAAUUAUAAACUGAGAUGCUAGAAGAGUAAACAAAAGACUAGGAUGGCCACCAAACCAGAGACCAAAGCAAGGCUAGACAAAACAGAAAGUAUCAAUGGUACUUCGUCCUUAACUAAAAUGGAACUUUCAUGCUGGAGCAAGAACUAGCAUAAAAGUCGAUUUAUUAUGACCAGCGCGGUUAUUUGUUAUUUCAUUUUCUAUUAUCGAAUACCCAGGAGACAUUAACUUGAUAAUAUACGUGUUGUCUUUACCUGUAACCAGUUAUCUGACCCUUCCAUUUAUACAACUAUUGAGUUUGAAAGCCACUAUUGAGUAGAGAUUGAAGCUCAAGUAAGUACUCAUGGCAAACUAUUAUUCCCUCGGUGGAAAUUCAGGCCAAAUGCUUCAAAGCAAAAGAACAGUCCCUGACUAGAAAACUUAUAUGAAAGUAAGGUAUGAAUAAUCCUUUUGUAUCAGACAUCUAUUAGGUUUGAACAUACUUUUCUAGAUGUAUUGAUGAUAGGCUUGCAAGCUCAUUGUAAAUACAAGGUAAGUGCAGCCUCCAAUUGAUGUAAAGGCUAUAUUAGCUGUUUCAGGGACUUAGAGUGAGUGUAGAUGUUACAUUGUGCUCUGCAGGGCUAUGUAAGUGUUGGGAAUCUUGGCAUGUGUUUGUUUCAUGUCCAUUGGUAAUUUUUGUUGCCAAUGCCUAGGUGAAUCAGAUCAGAGGGAUUUAAAUUCAAUAUCUUCAACGACACUGCGGUUUUGCUGUCUAAGAUAGUUAUUCGUGGUUUUGCACCUGUUUCAAAUUCAAUAUUUUCGCAUGCAGGGCUGUUUAAGUACCGGUAUAUUCUGAAAACUGAAGUGUGGUAUGUGGUUAGUGGUGCAUUAGAGUCUCAAGUAUUACAGCACGUAUUUGAACCAGGUUUGCCCAUCUGGGUCUAUGUAUAAUACUCUCUGUUUAAUUUAUUUUUAUUUAUAUAAUUUCCAAGUGGAGUGUUUGUGACACCCACUUGCAAUCUUAUUUUAUUAAUUUGUUUGUGUGGCAGGGAAGACAAACUAUCUAUUAGAGGUACAUUUCACAUAAUGUAUGAACUGUUGGUUAAGGCAGAUGCUGAUUUUGAAAUUCUUUGGUUGUUUUGCAGUUUUUGCCCGGGUCAGAAAGAAGUUUUGGUGAUGUUUUGACUUUCUUGGAUCGAUCUUACAUGCCCAGACUCCACAUGAAAAUUUUAUCACUAUGUUUCGAGUUUUUAACAUCGCUAUCCAGUUUGAGCUAUUUGUCAGUAUCUUAUAAGAACAGUCUUCCCUGUAGGUAGAAAGGUUUUUAUAGAUAAGGAGAAGAAGGUUCUUAUUAGUUACUAGCCAAUUGCAUCAAACGAGAACCAUGAGAACUGCUUCUGGAAUGAAUUGAGAGAAACAUGUGAAGAUGGCAUUGAUCACAGAUGGAUCUUACAAGAAUUGUCUUCCCCUAGGGGUAACUGUAAGGCAAUUACUUUGGAGCAUGAAGAUCCGUUCACGACUUUCACCUUGGAAGAUUUCUUCCACUUUUCAUCUGUACUUUCCUUGGCAGCAGCCUUCACCUUCCUAUCAAGAGAAGCAACCUCUUUCUCCAUCUGCCAAUCAGGAAAGAUCACAUGUUCUUUCAUGUUACCAUCCAAUUGCAUCAAACAGUCCACUAGAACUGCUUUUGGAAUAUAUUGAGAGAACAAUAUCAAGAUGGCAUGGAAAGCUGGUUUUUUUACAAUCUGUGCUUUUUCUUCAUUGAGCAACUUCUGUGAACUGUAUCCGUGUUUGUUGCUAUUUUCAUGAAGUUUGGACUAAGCCUUACAUUAUGCAAAAUCAAGUGAUAUGAUGAUUUGCUUGAGAUGGCAAAGGAGUUAAUCUCAAACACUGCCCUCGGUCAAAUCUAUGAAAGCAACGCUCUAAAUAUCUGGGACCUGUAAUAUUAAUAUUCCUUGGUGGCAGUUUACAGAUUUGUACUUUUAUCUGUUAUGUUUUGGAAGCUAUUGGUCAUAUCUUAACAUUUUUAUUGUC